ensembl:lncRNA
GGGCGGGCUUCAGUCUGCAGUUGGCGUCUAGUGAGCCCUCGUCCGCACGGAGUGACGGAGAACUGUUUCUCAGCGGAACGGAGAAGGCGACGGAAACCGUACAAUGCGUUAGUACGAGGAAACGGCAAUCCCGGCGAAAAGAAAACCAUUUCCCACACCUGAUCGUAUUCCCCGAGCCGGCCGAGGCGGCGGGGGGGACAUGGCUUGAUCGUAGGCGAAGUGUCGAGUGCUGUGUUCGGGAUUUUCUUGUAGCAGCAGAUUCUGCCGCCGCCACCAGGAACUUUUUUUCACUGUCGGCCCGACAGUGGCGGCGGCUCUCUCCCCGGAGCGGUGUCCCAUUUUGCCCCAUGCAAAACCUAACGGUCCCUGGCAGCCCCAACAACUUCAAUGUCACCUGCUCUUGCAACUGCACCGCUUCCCAGCCCCAGGGAAUGGAGAUAUGAGAAAGAUACUACGCUCAUUCAAAGACUACACAAAGAGUCUGUUGUGCCCAGGGACAGCGCCGGCCAUAACUUCCUUACAGCAUUUCAAUAUGAUGCAAUGUUCACUCCUGAAGAUGUAAAGAGACAUGAAACUCUCGCACACGUAGAAACACGUAAACAUAAAC